rnacentral:rRNA from 1 species
GACGAACGCUGGCGGCGUGCUUAGCACAUGCAAGUCGAACGAUGAAGAAAAGAAUCGAAGCUUCGGCAGAAAUUCAUUUCGGAUUAGUGGCAGACGGGUGAGUAACGCGUGAGCAACCUACCUCUUACAAAGGGAUAGCCUCGGGAAACCGGGAUUAAUACCAUAUAACAUUGCGACGAAGCAUUUCGAUGCAAUCAAAGCUACGGCGGUAAGAGAUGGGCUCGCGUCCCAUUAACCGGAUGGUGAGGUAACGGCUCACCAUAGUGACGAUGGGUAACCGGCCUGAGAGGGUGAACGGUCACACUGGAACUGAGACACGGUCCAGACUCCUACGGGAGGCAGCAGUGGGGAAUAUUGCACAAUGGAGGGAACUCUGAUGCAGCGACGCCGCGUGAGUGAUGAAGGAAUUCGUUUCGUAAAACUCUGUUCUAUGGGAAGAAAAGGACUGUACCAUAGGAGAAAGCUCCGGCUAAAUACGUG